rnacentral:lncRNA from 1 species
AUGGAUAUUUUAAGUCUGGUCUUUUCUUGUUUGCUACAGGGGAGACAAGGGCCCCGUGGUCCUAGCGGUUUUCCUGGACAGCAAGGAUUUAAAGGUCCACAGGGUGUGAGAGGAAUCCAGGGCAUGAAGGGAAUGAAAGGAAAUCAAGGAAACAAAGGGUUUCCUGGUUACCUGGGAGUGGCAGGUCCACCAGGCAUUCCUGGGAUCUGGGGAACCAAAGGCAAUAAGGGAGAGCCUGGCGGCCCCGGAAUAAAAGGGGAGAGAGGUCCACCGGGACGCCGGGGAAUAAGGGGCGAUGGUGGUGCAGUUGGAUAUGGUAAACAAGGACAAAAAGGGAUAAAGGUAAGAGUGAAAAGAAAUCUUUAAUGAAAAUCUGAGCUCUUUUUAUAAAUAUCCUUACAGAUCAUUAUCAGCUGGAAUGAAUGGAAAUAAAACAUGGAUUAUUGUAGAGGUGUGGGCACUAGAUUAUCUCCUUACGUGUUGCCUUCCAGUAUCAAACUUGGUGGUUUGACACCUAUCAGUUUGCCAGCAAACACGUACAUACACAAAAAUAAAGUAAUGCGGGGUUAGGAAACCCGUGAUCCUAUAGAUUUUGCCAGAUUCCUAUUCUCAUCAGCUCCACUAAGCCAAUGAGUCAGGGAGUUGUAAUCUACCAACAACUGGUGGUCGCCAUGUUCCCC